ensembl:rRNA 5S_rRNA 5S ribosomal RNA
GUUUAAGGCCAUCCUACCCAGAAUGAGCCUGAUCUUGUCUGAUCUUGGAAGCUAAGCAGGGUCAGGCCUGGGUAGCUCUUGGAUGGGAGAGUCUCAGCUCCUAUACGCU